rnacentral:rRNA from 1 species
GAUGAACGCUGGCGGCGUGCCUAAUACAUGCAAGUCGAGCGAACAGAUGAGGAGCUUGCUCCUCUGACGUUAGCGGCGGACGGGUGAGUAACACGUGGAUAACCUACCUAUAAGACUGGGAUAACUUCGGGAAACCGGAGCUAAUACCGGAUAAUAUAUUGAACCGCAUGGUUCAAUAGUGAAAGACGGUUUUGCUGUCACUUAUAGAUGGAUCCGCGCCGCAUUAGCUAGUUGGUAAGGUAACGGCUUACCAAGGCAACGAUGCGUAGCCGACCUGAGAGGGUGUGGGGACACCAGGAAUGUGAGACGCGGUCCAGACCCCGACGGGGGGAAGGAUGAGGGACUUUUCCGAAAGGGGCGAACGCCUGAGGGAGAAACGCCGGGGGGGUGAAGAAGGUUUUGGGAUUGAAAAACUCUUUUUUUGGGGAAAAACAAAUGUGAAAGAAACUAUGCACCUUUGGGGGGUCCCAAAACAGAAAGCCCGGGCAAACCCCG